rnacentral:SRP_RNA from 1 species
GCCGGGUGUGGUGGCGCACGCCUGUAAUCCCAACACUUUGGGAGGCCGAGGCAGGCGGAUCACCUGAGGUCAGGAGUUUGAGACCAGCCUGGCCAACAUGGUGAAACCCCGUCUCUA